GGUUCACUUUAACACUGAGGCGUGACGACGAGGCACUACGGUGCUGAAGCAACAAAUGCCCUGCUUCCAGGAAAAGCCUCUAAGCAUCAGGUAACAUCAAAUCGUACCCCAAACCGACACAGGUGGUCAGGUAGAGAAUACCAAGGCGCUUGAGAGAACUCGGGUGAAGGAACUAGGCAAAAUGGUGCCGUAACUUCGGGAGAAGGCACGCUGACACGUAGGUGAAGUGAUUUACUCAUGGAGCUGAAGUCAGUCGAAGAUACCAGCUGGCUGCAACUGUUUAUUAAAAACACAGCACUGUGCAAACACGAAAGUGGACGUAUACGGUGUGACGCCUGCCCGGUGCCGGAAGGUUAAUUGAUGGGGUCAGCGCAAGCGAAGCUCCUGAUCGAAGCCCCGGUAAACGGCGGCCGUAACUAUAACGGUCCUAAGGUAGCGAAAUUCCUUGUCGGGUAAGUUCCGACCUGCACGAAUGGCGUAAUGAUGGCCAGGCUGUCUCCACCCGAGACUCAGUGAAAUUGAACUCGCUGUGAAGAUGCAGUGUACCCGCGGCAAGACGGAAAGACCCCGUGAACCUUUACUAUAGCUUGACACUGAACAUUGAGCCUUGAUGUGUAGGAUAGGUGGGAGGCUUUGAAGUGUGGACGCCAGUCUGCAUGGAGCCGACCUUGAAAUACCACCCUUUAAUGUUUGAUGUUCUAACGUGGACCCGUAAUCCGGGUUGCGGACAGUGUCUGGUGGGUAGUUUGACUGGGGCGGUCUCCUCCUAAAGAGUAACGGAGGAGCACGAAGGUUGGCUAAUCCUGGUCGGACAUCAGGAGGUUAGUGCAAUGGCAUAAGCCAGCUUGACUGCGAGCGUGACGGCGCGAGCAGGUGCGAAAGCAGGUCAUAGUGAUCCGGUGGUUCUGAAUGGAAGGGCCAUCGCUCAACGGAUAAAAGGUACUCCGGGGAUAACAGGCUGAUACCGCCCAAGAGUUCAUAUCGACGGCGGUGUUUGGCACCUCGAUGUCGGCUCAUCACAUCCUGGGGCUGAAGUAGGUCCCAAGGGUAUGGCUGUUCGCCAUUUAAAGUGGUACGCGAGCUGGGUUUAGAACGUCGUGAGACAGUUCGGUCCCUAUCUGCCGUGGGCGCUGGAGAACUGAGGGGGGCUGCUCCUAGUACGAGAGGACCGGAGUGGACGCAUCACUGGUGUUCGGGUUGUCAUGCCAAUGGCACUGCCCGGUAGCUAAAUGCGGAAGAGAUAAGUGCUGAAAGCAUCUAAGCACGAAACUUGCCCCGA
rnacentral:rRNA from 1 species